GACGAACGCUGGCGGCGUGCUUAACACAUGCAAGUCGAACGGAAAGGCCCUGCUUUUGUGGGGUGCUCGAGUGGCGAACGGGUGAGUAACACGUGAGUAACCUGCCCUUGACUUUGGGAUAACUUCAGGAAACUGGGGCUAAUACCGGAUAGGAGCUCCUGCUGCAUGGUGGGGGUUGGAAAGUUUCGGCGGUUGGGGAUGGACUCGCGGCUUAUCAGCUUGUUGGUGGGGUAGUGGCUUACCAAGGCUUUGACGGGUAGCCGGCCUGAGAGGGUGACCGGCCACAUUGGGACUGAGAUACGGCACAGACUACUACGGGAGGCAGCAGUGGGGAGUAUGGCAGAAUGGGCGGAAGCCUGAUGCAGCAACGCCGCGUGCGGGAUGACGGACUUCGGGUUGUAAACCGCUUUCGCCUGUGACGAAGCGUGAGUGACGGUAAUGGGUAAAGAAGCACCGGCUAACUACGUG
rnacentral:rRNA from 1 species